GCCCGAUGGCGUUGACCUCCACAAACGGCCGGAACAUGGCAUUGGUCUGCCAGAGGAGGUUGUUCACACCGACCACUGAAAGAAAAGGAACUAGGUGUGGAGAGGGGCGUGGCCUGCGGGCCUGCCUCGGAGCGGGGUGUGCAAGGACCGGCCUCGAAGACAGCGGCAGCAGCAGCCGGAACGAGACAAGUUGUUGGGAGUUGGAGCAGAGCGACACACGCACAGAGCCAGAGAGCAGAGACACGCCGGACUGAAAAGGCCUAAUUUGUAUAUUGCUGAAAAGCAAACGAGACUGGUGUAUGACAAUAAAAGAC